GGCGGGGUAGCUCAGUGGUAGAGCAGAGGCCUGAAAAGCCUUGUGUCGGCAGUUCAAUUCUGCCCCUCGCCACCA
rnacentral:tRNA from 2 species